rnacentral:lncRNA from 1 species
UCCCCUUCCCCUUCUGCCAUGAUUCUAAGUUUCCUGAGGCCUUCCUAGAAGCCGAGCAGAUGCCAGCAUCAUGCUCCCUGUACGGGCUAUGGAACCAUGGCUGUACCGCAGUUCAGGUCUUUGUGACUCAUCUGGAUGCUGUCGAAGAGACAGAGCUGGACACCGGUUAAAAGUGGCAUUCAAAGCUAUGCCUUUUCCUCUCAGCACUGCUUUAGCUGCAUCCCACAGCAUUUUUUCAGCUUUAAAAUAUUCUAACAACCCACAUUCCAAGAUUCACAUCUAUCCCAAGGUUCCCUGGCUCCUAAAUGGCUCAUGCAAAUCUUGAAGGAGUCUCUACUUUUUGAGGAGGAAAACAGCUCUUUAAUCUGGACUCCACGAUGUUGUUGAAAACACGCUUGCAGAGAUCCCGUGAAGAGAGUGAAAAGUCAAGCCACAAACUGGGAGAAGACAUUUGCAUUAUGUCUUGUCUCAAAGGACUCAUAUUCGGAAUAUAUAAAGAACCCUCACAAAUCAAUAAGCCAGGGUUCUAAAGGUCCAGUUUGGCUUAGCUGAUCCUCCAUUCAAGACUUGGAUAAAUGACUCUGCUUCAGGCUGUUGGAUUGGUUGGGUUCUGUCGGUGCCAAAUCCAAGGUUGGGUUUACUCUGCUCCACAUUUGAUAAUUCUCAGGAUAAGGAGCCAGAGUAAGAAAAGAUAGAGGGUGAGACAGCUGUCACAAGAUCUCCAGAAAGUGG